rnacentral:rRNA from 1 species
CUACAAAUGAAUUGACGGGGACCCGCACAAGCAGCGGAGCGUGUGGUUUAAUUCGUUGCUACACGAAGAACCUUACCUGGGUUUGACACAUAGGUUGUAGGGAACUGAAAAGGGACCGACCCUUCGGGGAGCCUAUACAGGUGUUGCAUGGCUGUCGUCAGCUCGUGUCGUGAGAUGUUCGGUUAAGUCCGCUAACGAGCGCAACCCUCGUCGUAUGUUAUAUGUGUCAUACGAGACUGCCGGUAAAAGCCGGAGGAAGGUGAGGAUGAUGUCAAGUCAGCAUGACCUUUAUAUCCAGGGCUACACACACGCUACAAUGGUCUGUACAAUGGGUAGCCAAGCCGCGAGGCGGAGCCAAUCCUGAAAGCAGGCCUCAGUUCAGAUUGCAGUCUGCAACUCGACUGCAUGAAGCCGGAGUUGCUAGUAACCGCAGGUCAGCAAUACUGCGGUGAAUACGUUCCCGGGUCUU